AACGCACAUUGCGCCCCUUGGUAUUCCGAGGGGCAUGCCUGUUCGAGUGUCAUUAUGACCACUCAAGCCUGGCUUGGUGUUGGGGUUCGCGGUCCCGCGGCCCUUAAAAUCAGUGGCGGCGCCAUCUGGCUCUAAGCGUAGUAAUCUUUCUCGCUAUAGGGUCCCGGUGGAUGCUUGCCAGCAACCCCCCAUUUCUUAGGUUGACCUCGGAUCAGGUAGGGAUACCCGCUGAACUUAA
rnacentral:misc_RNA from 1 species